AUUGAACGCUGGCGGCAGGCCUAACACAUGCAAGUCGAACGAGUGGCGGACGGGUGAGUAAUGUCUGGGAAACUGCCUGAUGGAGGGGGAUAACUACUGGAAACGGUAGCUAAUACCGCAUACCAUCAGAUGUGCCCAGAUGGGAUUAGCUAGUUGGUGGGGUAACGGCUCACCAAGGCGACGAUCCCUAGCUGGUCUGAGAGGAUGACCAGCCACACUGGAACUGAGACACGGUCCAGACUCCUACGGGAGGCAGCAGUGGGGAAUAUUGGCAAAUGGGCGGAAGCCUGAUGCAGCCAUGCCGCGUGUAUGAAGAAGGCCUUUGGGUUGGAAAGUACUUUCAGCGGGGAGGCGUUACCCGCAGAAGAAGCCCCGGCUAACCCCGUGCCAGCAGGCGCGGUAAUUC
rnacentral:rRNA from 1 species